CGUCGAGUUGUUCACCGAAGAGUUUGAAGAAUGAUCCACAAGAGGGAACUCGGAUCGUCAAAGUGUUGUUCUUGGCGAUGGUUGUGGUGCUAUGUCGUCACGCAUAUCUUGCAAACAUGCAAUCGGGCAGCCGUCGACAGUCGGCAUUUGCCAGUAGACGCGAAUGGUAGUCCGUGUGGAUUGGUGUGAGUGAGUCAUGGAACUCACAAAAUUAAAAUGGCGUAGCCACUAGAUCAUGUCGCAAUCUCAUUGGUCUUUUAUUCAAAACAUUAAAAAUUCCAACUAUGUUUCUCGUGUCCUGAUCGUUGACAAUAAAUCAAUAAUCAACGAUUUGUCCAGUGUUAUUAUUUUUGGAUUAACUCCCAUCGAAACAAUGAGUGUAAACUAAAUAUAUUAUGUGUUUGUGGGUAGUGUGUGUGUGUGUAUGUGCCAGUGAGAGUGAGUGAGUGUACAGUGUGAAACAAUCAUGAUAAUUUUGACAGCGAUUAUUUAAAUCCAACAAAGUUACUUGUUAGAAAUAAUAUUUUAAUUGUCUACAUUUGUUAAAUGGUUUUUUUACUUUCUGUUCAUGUUGAUGUAAUGAUAUUUUUUUUUGGGCGCGAUCACACUAAAUAAUCAGCCUCAUGACAGCUUGACGAUCUUGCAAUGAGUCAAGAUGGCGCCACCGGCCUUUUGACAUAUCCACUUGAUUAUCAGCUGGAUUUCACAGCCUUUCUGGAUUAUUUUUGAUAUAUUAUGAGCAGAGAAUUUUACGUACCUUGCACGCCUUACGCAUAUUCGGUGAGUUCUCAUUUUUCAACUACUGAUACUCUAUCUCAGUGUGGCAGUGGAACGACUGAUGGCGUUGUGGUGAGUGCUGGUGGUGGUAUGGAUUGCAUACCCCUGCGUCCUGGGCCGUUUCACUACUUGAUCAACGAGCAGGCCAAGUCCCUGGUGGCACUCCAGGAGCUGCAGAAUGAGGUCGGUGCUCUUCUCGAGUUUCGGGACCUCGUCAUCGAGACUUUCCCAAACCUCAGGCACAAGAUGGCGGUCUCGGUGGCAAAUUCCAGCUCGGCGAAUGCAUCCGUGAUGUCCUCGACGCAGAGUUCUCACAUUCCCUUACCAUUGUCAAGUCCAUCGUCACGUAGAAUAAGCGAUUGGGACCCUGGAAAAGUAAGACGACGCGCGCCAAGAGAAGGCGAAACUUCAGCUACUUCUUCAUUACCAAGAAGUCGUAGCAAUUCCCACAGUGGAGGCAAUAAGAACAGCGCGACCGUUCAGGAUUCUGGCUUCAGUACGGAGACUUCUUCUAAGGAUAGCGCCUCUACGGCGAUACCAAGACCACCUAGUCCACGUCCAGUUUUAGAUGAGGCUGAAGACGAAUUAUGGAAUCUCCUGGAUGUUAUUCAUCGAAAGGGUAUAAGACUCAGAGAGGAGGUUGAGAGUCUUCAGGGUCGUUUAGAGAGUGUUGCUUCAGAGGACUUUGGUCUUUCGGGUGAUGUUUUAGAGGCUGUGAAAAGAGUCACUGGAUCUGAUGAUGAUGACAUCGAUAGGGUUACGUGUGAGAAGGACACCGAGGUUGCUGAGUUACAGAGGGAGAAAUUGCAACUCUUGGAUAAAGUUGCUGAACUUGAGGCGGAGACGAUAUCGAGUCGGGCUAGAGCUCAGGAACUUCAGUCAGAAUUGUCGGCUCUCUCGGCUAUUAGAACUGGUUUAGAGGAUCAUCUACGUGCUGGGACUUUAGAUGGAUCUUACGCGAUUCAUGCGCCUGGUGCGCAGAGGAUACAACCAAUUUCACCUGUCAUCACGACUUCAUCCCCUAAGAGUAACAUUAAUAUCAGGAGCAAGGGAUCCGCUUUUGCCUCUGUGCUACCCACGAAAACUCAGAAAAAUAGGUUUAGAACAAGGACUAUAGAGAAAAAUGUGGUGGCCAAUGUGGUUACCAGGUCUAUUGAGGACUUGAAUGUAGAAGCUAAUGUUAACGAUAGGAGAGCAAGACUGGGAGCACUGGAUUCCGUGCUCAUUUCACCUACUAGGGUGGCUAACGUAAGAGAAGUCGAUUCCAAGAAAAUCGCCGCUAUUCUUAGGGAGCAUUCGCCUCUUGAACUCCAGCGGCACCUUAUCACCACAACCGUCCAUAAUCAGGCCUUACAAAAGAGACUGGACGAAGUUGAGAAAAGUACUGAAACACUCUCGGUAAGAUUAGACAAAGCCCGGGAGGAAAACGACGAUCUUAGAUUUCAACUGGCGGAACGAAACAUCGAAUUGGAGGGAACGCGAGCCAGAGUACGAGUUCUGGAGCGUUUUCAACAGCGUCCGUCCACGGAAGGUGAUUCAAAUACCGAAACAGAAUCAGAGUUGCCAAGAUGCGAGCAGAACUGUCCUGAGCCUGGAAGUAGUACAGAAUCUUCUCGCGAUCAUCAUCAAGCCGUCGAAGUAAAGCCAUCGCCACGUAGGCGACCUAGUCGAAUUCCUUUACUUGGUGUCGCCAAAGCGAAUGCACCAAAACCACCAACAACAACAACACACGCUAGAAACGACAGUAGAGAAUCAUUAAAAUCACUUACCAUCACACGAGCGACGAGGGACUCUAGUCGUGACAGUAUGACGGGAAAACCCAUCUCCAAAACGCGUGACAAUAGUCGCGAAUCCCUCAACAAGAGUCUAUCAAAAACAACCGAAAGAACUAAUGGAUCCGCAAAGGAAACUGGCAAAGAUUCUCUCAAUAAAUCAUUGCCACGUAAUAAUUCCAAUAAAGAUUCAUUGAGCAAGACGUCAAUUCUUUCAAGGACAAGGGACUCAUUGGAGUCGAAUCAUCUCGGGAGUUCAUCUCCUGUGACUCCCCCACGUCGACCAUCAGCUCCUGCUCGUCGAUCUCACAGUUUGGCGCGAACCACAGUUGAUAACGACACCGGCAAGGUACGGUCAACAAAGCUAUCCUUUUGGCAGCUGCUGAAGUCACCUCUCUCCAACGGUUCGACCUAGUGCGACAUACAAACAAAAAAUUCAUAAAUAAAUAAAAAAACCAAUCGUCCUUUCUCUUUAGGGAUAUAAUAGUCGCUUCUAACUUUUAAGCUGAACGUACAAUUGUCCAUCCAGGGUCAGCCAAUAAAACUCACAACCACUACUGACACUCUUCCUUUCGCAGAGCGAGAUUUCUAAAUUACGUUCUUUCCUGAUAGUGGAUUUCUUCAAAAAGGGUUAGAAUACUCCUCCAAAACUGUUUGGUGUUCGACUGGAAAUGUUGCAGGCUGGGUGACGAAUGACCGUUAUCGUCACCUGGUGGGUACUCCAGUGUUACCACCCCUCUUUUAUAGCAACAAGUAUUUCAAGAUAUUCUAUUCACCCCCACGAAUGAAAAAGAAUUUUACGUUUGCAAUCCUUCUGCUUUGGCUUUAAAUUCUUUUUCUAUCUUCUGGACGAAGAUAGGAAAAUAAUUUAAAGCCAAAGCAGAAGGAUUGCAAACGUAAAAUUCUUUUUCAUUCGUGAUGGAGGGUUGGCAACACUGAAAAUUUCCAGGGAAUCCCCUGCAAAAAUAAGUAUUCUUGCAGGGGAUUCCCUGAGGAAUUUUGUGAUUCCCCUUGUUUCGUCUCACUCUCAUCUAUGUAGAGAUAGUGAGUCGAAAGUGGCGCCAAUUCGAACUAAUGUCCGCUGGUCAACUAAUAGAUCACUUAACCUCUAAUUCGUCCACUUUAUUUCUUUUCUAAAAUCGUUUUCUUGAUAAAUUACUGUGAACAACGAGAGGAAUCAACUAAUAAUUAUUAAUGUUUAUGUUGACCAGUAAUUAUUGGCUAAUGUUAAUAAUAACCAUUAAUUAAUGGAUAAUAUUAAUAUUAAUCAUCGUUACCUUAAAGUUUUUAAAUGCAAUUGUCUGAUUUUCAGUCGAAUAUUAAAGCAGAACUUUGGGAAUUAUUAUUUUGUGAUAAUAGAACCAAAUUAGAAUUUUUUUUUCGUCAAUAAAUGAGGAAAUCCGCUAUUAGGAAAUACGAUCUCUGGAUUAAGGUCUCUUCUCUGCUUUACGUUACUACUAGUUACUACUCGCUCCACUGCCCUUCUUGUUACCAGUGCCUUUAGAACGGAGGAAUUGUGAUUCUACGCUCGACAUUUUUCUUCUCACUUUGACUCGACUCGACGCACACGUAAAUUUGUUACCAUCUUUUUUUUCUAGACUUGGUGCAAAUAGAGAAAAAUCUAAAAUUUAAUUUAAUGCUUCUUCAUAAAUAUAUAAUUUUGCCUAAUUUUCAAUUUGUCGUUAAAGUCCAUUUUGUGAAUUUUUUUUUUCUUUUUGAAUACACGCACAAAAAUUUGUAGAAAAGUCAAUGAGAAAUCUUCACUGCACCAGGCUAGUUUUUUUUUAUACACUGUGUAGGCGUUAUGAUAAUAUUGAAAGAGAGGAGAAAAUAACUUGGAAAUGUAAUUUCAUAAUCGACAAAAAAAAUGACAAUUGUACUGCACAAAUAAGAAAAAAAUAGAUUAGACGGACGUUUCAAUAAUUUUUUUUUUCUAAACUAAAAGUAAAAAAAACGACUACGAUCCACUACGAAAAAGUCUAAACUGGAGCGCAGGCGAGUGUGCGUUCGAGAGUCCAUCAUGGCCAAGAAAUUAUGAAAAUGGCCCCUUCUCGCGUUCUUCGUCGGUCUCUCGCCUAUUCCGAUGCACCAGAUUCAUGGUGUUCGAGUAGCGGCAGUUUUCAUCGUAGCGAAUUUUCUUUAUAUCCGGAUUCAUUAAAUCAGGAAACAUCAUCGGUAACUGGUUCUACGCGAGUGGAAUUUAUCAUUGGAU